CUCCUCGGUCACUGAUAUAGCCCUGAGUGAGCUGCAAGCUUUUUCCUUAUGUGAUCAGGCCCCAUGUGGUUGGUGCUGCUUGCCUGGUCCAGAAACUACCAUAAAAACAUGGCCAGGGAACCUGGAG
rnacentral:scRNA from 1 species